CAUUUUGGCGGAAGCAUAAUUCCCCAAACCAGGGGAAUGUGAUGCGUCUAAGAAUAGAGGUGACAAUAACGUUGUGACGUCACCAUCUAUGUAUAGAAUGAUGGCCGAACAGUUGUCAUUCAAGUACGUCGUUGAGGAAUGCUUAUCUGAGGAUCCGAAAGAGGCUGGCUCAGAUGACGAGGAAGCUAACUUGGAUGGUGAUGAAAUUAAUAAGAGAUUUGUAUUGUAUUCUAAAGAUUGAAUAAAUGAAUGCUUCUU